GAUGAACGCUGGCGGCGUGCCUAAUACAUGCAAGUCGAGCGAACAGACGAGGCGCUUGCUCCUCUGACGUUAGCGGCGGACGGGUGAGUAACACGUGUAUAACCUCCCUAUAUGACUGGGAUAACUUCGGGAAACCGGAGCUAAUACCGUAUAAUCUAUUGAACCGCAUGGUUCAAUAGUGAAAUACGGUUUUGCUGUCACUUAUAGAUGGAUCCGCGCCGCAUUAGCUAGUUGGUAAGGUAACGGCUUACCAAGGCAACGAUGCGUAGCCGACCUGAGAGGGUGAUCGGCCACACUGGAACUGAGACACGGUCCAGACUCCUACGGGAGGCAGCAGUAGGGAAUCUGACGCAAUGGGCGAAAGCUUGACGGAGCAACGCCGCGUGAGUGAUGAAGGUCUUCGGAUCGUAAAGAUCUGUUAUUAGGGAAGAACAAAUGUGUAAGUAAAUAUGCACGUCUUGACGGUACCUAAUCAGAAAGCCACGGCUAACUACGUG
rnacentral:rRNA from 1 species